rnacentral:lncRNA from 12 species
GAUUUGGCGGAGAGUUUGUGUGCGUGAGAGAGAGAGAGGAGAAUCAGGAAGGAUUGCGGCAGCGAUGGCUUUGGGCAGGUACGUGAAUGCUCCGCGCUCAGACGGAGGAGAGCAGAGCUGCACUGAGCCCGCUCCGUUUGAUGGCACUUGGGCUGCUAUGGAAACUAAUGAUGUGAGCCGAGCAGCGGAUCAUGAACGCCAGGCAGGUGUCCGAGGGUGAUGCGGAGCGUGUGUGUGAGCCGUGGUUUGGCGACCCGACCCGAGCGCUUGUGACGGGGGUCAUGGGACUGCUGCUGCCCCCUGUCCGUCUCUCAGUCCGCCCCGCUGCCUCCAGAGGCCCCAGGGUCCUACGCUCCCUAAGGUUCCAGCCCAGUCCUGAAAACAGCACAGCCGGUGGUGAUUUUCGGUCUUGCUUCUGAGGAUAAUGUCUGAAUCUUCUCUGGACACCAGAAGUUGUGACGUUAUGAAGGUUCUGGAGAGUGACGCGCCGCACAUGGCCGGACCGCCCGCGUCCCUCAACGAUCCCCAACACGUGCCCCAGAACAACGGCACACACGCCCAGGAGUGUGUGACAGACCAAAGUUCCCCCCAUCAAACUCAGCUCGUCCAAUCAGCACAGACUAUUAAACGGUCCAAGUCCAACGGCAAGUUAAAGUUAGUCCGCAGCUUGGCGGUGUGUGAGGAGCCGUCUCCGCCUCCGCUCCGAGAACUGACGCACGAACAGGUAAACGUGUGUGUGUGGGUGUGUGUACAGACUAGCAUACUAUUUACUUUUUAGCUUAUGUGACUUAGUUAACUUGCUAAUUCACCAACAUUUGUGUACAUAGUACAUUUGUGGGGUUUUUAAUGUUUUUGAAAGAAAUCUCUCCAAGGCUGAAUUUAUUUGAUUAAAAAUACAGUAAUAUUGUGAGAAAUUAUUACAAAUCUAAAUAAUUUUUUUCUAUUUGAUUAUAUUUUAAAAUAUAGUUUAUUCCUAUGAUGCAAAGCUGAAUUUUCAGCAUCAUUACUCCAGUCUUCAGUGUCACAUGAUCCUUCAGAAAUCAUUCUGAUAUGCUGAUCUAUUAUAAUGAAAAAAAUUAAGCUUUUUUUUUUUAAUUUGUCUGAAUUUAUAGCUCUUAAACUAGUGUGUAAAUAUAAUAUUACAUUUCUAUUUUCUAAAUUUCUUUUUUCUGUUACACAAAUGAUUUUAUAUUUAAUUUAGCAUUUAUUAAUUUAUUAUAGUUAAUAUAUAAUACUAUUUAAUUUACUGAUUUUU